CAGGCAUAGCCAGCUGAAAUUCUGAAAGUGGAUUACGCAUGGAGUAAUGCUGUUCUCAGGAAAUGAGUGAUUUAUUUCAUAAUCUAAAAUUUAAACGUUUUAAUAUACCUCCCAAGAAGAUACCUGGUUCAGAAAACUGCAGAGGAGCCAUGGAACUCAGCAGAAGGCCAACUCCCUCUCUGGGAGGCUGCCUUCAGGAAACCAAUCGUCCACCCACCUGAUUCCAAAGGAAUUACAGAAAAAUGGAAAGCCAGGAACAAAAAUCAUAAAUCAUAUUUUCAAUAUGACCUUGUAACAUUAUCCAUGGAUGUUACCUCAGACUUCAUGAUAAGCUGAGGCCCUGACACCGUGUUCCUGUCACUUUCCUGUUGUGGCCAUGAACGAUGCCUUGAGCUCAGCUCUACCUAGAUGCUUGGACUCAGCUGCUGCAGCUUAGAGGCUCUGGACAAGCCCUUCAGCAUCAGGCCAUCUCUUCCGAGAUUCUGCUCAGUACUUGAGCCUGGAUGAUCUGCUGAGCUUCAGUCUCUGCCCUGCUCCCCUCAUGGAGAACCUGAUUCAUCUGGAGCCUCGGACUCGCUAUGUAGUGGUCCCUGGGAUCAGAGCAGCACUCUUGGAAAAACAGUAAAACAGACUUGUUAUUGGCAGCCCAUUAGUGCUCAGGAGAGGCGGUCUCCAGCAUGACAUCAGCCCGCGGCUCGACCCAAAUCUAGUAUUUCACCAG
rnacentral:lncRNA from 1 species